UCGUUCCUGAGCUUCAAGCCAGAAUCGGCCAGGGCCCCGGCUAGCUUUCCUGGGGACAGCCGGUUACUGUGGAGCGUGUGACAGGCACGGGCCAAGCGGUCUACAAGCCAAGGACCCUCAGAUGGAGAAUCAGCGCAACUCCUGCCCCAGAGGAACGGGUACUUAGGACCAAGUAUUAAGUUUAUUCCCCAUGGAAGAGGAAGCUGAGUAAGUGAAUGGCUGCUGAACUUGGCUCCCAGAGAAGAACUCGUCCUCAUCACAUGCCUGCUCAAUAGAGCCGGGCAUCAGAACAAGUACGUUCAUACUGGUGACCUCAGUUAAUCUCCACAGCCCCCACAAGAGAGGGUGACUGGGAUAAGCAGCCACUGAAGAAUGUGUCGGUGUCACUGGCGAGGACGUUAUUCACCAAGAUACACGAUGGGGGCUUCCCUGGUGGCGCAGUGGUUGAGAGUCCACCUGCCGAUGCAGGGGACACGGGUUCGUGCCCCGGUCCGGGAAGAUCCCACAUG